rnacentral:rRNA from 1 species
AUUGAACGCUGGCGGCAGGCCUAACACAUGCAAGUCGAGCGAGCGGCGGACGGGUGAGUCAUGUCUGGGAACCUGCCUGAUGGGGGGGGAUAACUACUGGAAACGGUAGCUAAUACCGCAUCCCCUCAGAUUUGCCCAGCUGGGAUUAGCUAGUAGGUGGGGUAACGGCUCACCUAGGCGACGAUCCCUAGCUGGUCUGAGAGGAUGACCAGCCACACUGGAACUGAGACACGGUCCAGACUCCUACGGGAGGCAGCAGUGGGGAAUAUUGCACAAUGGGCGAAAGCCUGAUGCAGCCAUGCCGCGUGUGUGAAGAAGGUCUUCGGGUUGUAAAGCACUUUCAGCGGGGAGGCGUUACCCGCAGAAGAAGCACCGGCUAACUCCGUGCCAGCAGCCGCGGUAAUUC